AAAAAAAAAAAAUUUAUUUGCAUAUGUUAAAUUCAGUUAUUUCAGUUUUUUAACCUUAAAAACCAAACAAGUAGAUUUUACCCAAAUAAAAGCCAAAAAACCAAAUUGAAUGGGUUCGGUUUUUUUCAGUUGGAUCCAAACAGUGAACAACCCAACCAUAGAGUCUAAGGGUUUCAAGUUAAGUAGAAUAUGCACAGCAAUUUUAGCACUGUAAGAAGCAGUGAGUAAAUUUGGGUUACUUUGGAUGGUGUAGAGGUUUCUUAAAGCAUUCAUUGUUGAUACUUAGGCUCUCUUAUAUAAAGGGAUACUAGAAGUGAGAAAAAUGUCCACAAUAGAAUUAAAUCAGGAAGGGUGAAAUUGAGAAGUGCAAAACAAUUCCCAUCCAUUGCCAAAAAACCAUCUUAGUUGAAAGAAAGUUUUGCGGGAAUGUGAUUCAAGAUACUACGAUGUAUGGUGGUGAGUGUUAGGUGGUAAAAAAAACAGCAUAUGCAAAAGACUAUCGUAAUAAAAAAUAAGAAUGAUAAGAUGGAUGUGUGGAAAUACAGGAGUUGAUUGAAUUAGAAAUUAACGCAUUCAUAGGAAGAUGGAAGUAGUAUCCAUUAAGGAAAAGUUGAGAGAAAUUAGAUUGAGAUAGUUUGGAAACGGGCAUCAUAGGCCAUAAAACGUAUUAGUACAAAGUAAAAAGAGGAAUUCAUAACUCUAGAUCCUAAGUAACCCUAAAUCAAGUGGAAUAGAGGAAAAACAAUUCAUAUAGCCAACUUUAACUAAUCCAGGAUUAAGCUUUAGUAGAGCAUGUGUCUGUGAGAGGAGUUGACCUUUGAUUUAUAAAGAUGCAAUCCACACCUACAAAAGAGCUCCUUGAAGAACACAUCAGACCUAGUAAUGCUUCGAUCUUCUUUGUCCAAUAUAAAUCCACUUCGUGCAGUGUUUUCCUUCAGGACAAAAAAACCACCAGGUUUGAGGCCA
rnacentral:misc_RNA from 1 species